GUGCUCGCUUUGGCAGCACAUACACUAAAAUUGGAAAAAUACAGAGCAGAUUAGCAUAGCCCCUGCACAAGGAGGAGACAAAAAAUUCAUUAACCAUUCCAUACCUUUUU
ensembl:snRNA U6 spliceosomal RNA